GACGAACGCUGGCGGCGUGCUUAACACAUGCAAGUCGAACGGAAAGGCCCUGCUUUUGUGGGCUGCUCGAGUUGCGAACGGGUGAGUAACACGUGAGUUACCUGCCCUUGCCUUUGGGAUAACUUAAUGACACUUGAGCUAAUACCGCAUAGGAGCUCCUGCUGCAUGGUGGGGGUUGGAAAGUUUCGGCGGUUGGGAAUGGACUCGCGGCUUAUCAGCUUGGUGGGUAGGUAGUGUCUUACCAAGGCUUUGACGGGUAGCCGUGCUGCGAGGGUGACCGGCCACAUUGGGACUGGGAUACGGCCCAGACUCGUACGGGAGGCAGCGGUGGAGAAGAUUGCACAAUGGGCGGAAGCCUGAUGCAGCAACGCCGCGUGCGGGAUGACGGCCUGCGGGUUGGAAACUGCUUUCGCCUGAGACGAAGCGAGAGUGACGGUAAUGGGUAAAGAAGCACCGGCUAACUACGUG
rnacentral:rRNA from 1 species